rnacentral:rRNA from 1 species
AGAGCGAACGCUGGCGGCAGGCCUAACACAUGCAAGUCGAGCGGCCGUAGCAAUACGGCAGCGGCAGACGGGAGAGUAACACGUGGGAACGCGCCCUUCGGUUCGGAAUAACUCAGGGAAACUUGGGCUAAUACCGGAUACGCCCUUACGGGGAAAGAUUUAUUGCCGAAGGAACGGCCCGCGUCCGAUUAGCUUGUUGGUGAGGUAACGGCUCACCAAGGCGACGAUCGGUAGCUGGUCUGAGAGGAUGACCAGCCUCACUGGGACUGAGACACGGCCCAGACUCCUACGGGAGGCAGCAGUGGGGAAUAUUGGACAAUGGGCGCAAGCCUGAUCCAGCCAUGCCGCGUGGGUGAUGAAGGCCCUAGGGUUGUAAAGCCCUUUCGGCGGGGAAGAUAAUGACGGUACCGAGAUAAGAAGCCCCGGCUAACUUCGUGCCAGCAGCCGC